rnacentral:lncRNA from 1 species
GAGCCCAGCCCAGGGAGUGCCGCCUCCCUGCCUGAUCCCCUGGGAACGCCCCGCCCAAACGUGCGGGAGAAGUGAGGCUCUGCUGCGCCCCCCCGGCCUGGGGAUCGAGAUGACCUUCGUGCCUCCUCGGCGCGCUCCUGUCUGUGCCUCUCGGCGUGGGAGAGGACGCCGAAGCGAGCACACCUGGAGUACAGCGACGCAGUACCUGGCUUGUACCACAGAAGAGUCUCCCUGAAACAAGCCCUGACAAAGAGGAGCUCAUUGUAAAAGAUGCCAUCUUAUAAGAGGACACAGUGAGAGUCAACAGAAACAACACUGGCAAGUCCGGAGCAGAGUUGCCGGGACAAGAUCAAAGCAUGACACUGCUUAUACCUGUUGGUCAAGUUAUGUGGUUAGCAGACCAUCUGCUUAAUCCUCUUGGGGCCUGCUUGUCAACACUUUAGGCGGCAAGCGGAAGAUUCCUGGGAACUGUCUCGAGGCGUUUGGCAGACGCGCCCAGGGCCAACUGUGCGCCCCUCCAGGCUGUUGGGAUUGGAAAUGCUCUUUUAGAAGUGCGUGGCUGGAACAAAGGGGCCCUGUUGGUUGCUUCCAGAUUCUGGAAGAAUCUCUGCCAUUAAUGACGGUGUGGAGUUAAUGUGAUGUAAACUUCCCAUACUUACAGGGUUUUUUUUUUUAAUUUUUUUUUCAAGUUGAAUUAACAGGCAUAUGCUUGAAAGGACUACACACUUACAAAAGGGGUCUGUCUGCUCCACAGAGUUUAGAUGCCUGUCCAAGCCUGGAUGUGGCACGAACCUGCCCUGGUAAAGCAGAAGGGCACGGGAUAUGGACCAAGAACCAUCAUUACUCCCAAUUAUAAUCGACAUUUCAGCAACCUCUAUUCGUUUGUGGAGUCUAUUAAAGAUCUUGGUAAGAAGAUUGUUCUAUAAUAGAAAAAUCAGAUUAAAUCUAAAGAAAAUAAUUCUUAAGCAAGUGGAGGAAAAAAUGUUGGCAAAGCCUGAACUGGCAGUGGCUCAGCAAAAGUUAGAAUAAAAGAUUAAUAGGUUCUAAUACUUUAUUCAAACAAAGCACUGUUGUUAAAAAUACACUGGAUAUAUGCAAAAAUAUAAACUUAGGACAUCUGAUAUUUUGAGUAAAUUAAUAUAUGUAGUGUUCUACAAUACUGAUUAAUUUAUUUGGUGCUCUUUUAAGGUGAGUAAUGAUUAAUAAUUCAGUAUGAUAUGAAAUGAUAUAGACGGCAAAGUCUAUUUUGGUACAUUUAAGUCCAUUCUGUUAAUCAGACCUGUAUUGUCCGUGUGCAUCAUGCAAGUCUCUGAGGUGGCGAUGGAAGGGAUACAAAAAUGGGCAGCUCUUGUUGCUGCCACAGCAAGGGAAUUAUCCAGUGUGAGGAGAUACCUCAGUCUACAAACAAACAAUUCACGAUAUUUGGUAAUUGAUAUUAAACUGCUGCUACCAACUUUAAUAGUAGGCUCCCUUUUGGGGGACUGACUGUGUGCCAGGCAUUGCAUUGUAUCAUUUACUUGGUGCUGAUGUCUAUGACAUGACAAUUCCCUACAAAAUACACUAUGAGCAAACCGAGUAACAAAAAAGGUUAGCAACUUGCUCAAGGUCAAAGCUAAAAUGCAGGGCAGCCAGGUUUCAGACUCAGACUACUGGAUCCUUGCUCUUUGCACUGUAAGGCAUACACUGGCACACCAAUGUUUCUGGUGUGGCAGUUAUGGACUGUCUUAUAGAAAUGGCAUCUGAGUUGGGUCUUGAAGGAUAUACAAUGGUCUCUUGGUGUCUCAAGGAACUGGUUACAGGACUCCUGUGGAUGCUCUAGUCCCCUUAUAAAAUGGCAUAAUAUUUGCAUAUAACCAAUGUACAUCAUCUCAUAUACUUCAAGUCGUCUCUAGAUUACUUUUUUCUUUUCUUUUGUGGCCUUCCUGAGGCAUAUGGCAUCUGAUCCCUCGCCAGGGAUCAGAUCCGAGCCGAAGUUGCAACCUAUGCCGAAACUGCGGCAAUGCCGGAUCCUUAACCCACUGUGCCAGGUCAGGAAUUGAACCUGCAUGCCGGCACUCCCAAGACACCACCGAUUCUGUUGUGCCACAGCGGGAACGCCUACUUAUAAUACAAUGUAAAUGCUAUGUAAAUAGUUGCCUUCACUAGGCAAAUUUAAGUUGUGCCUUUUGGAACUUUCUUCCAUCCACAGUUGAUUGAAUCUGCAGAUGCAGAACUCUCAGAUAUGGAGGGCCCGCUGUACACAUUUAUGACAGAGUGGAGGAGGGAAUAAAAUAAAGGUAUGGAGACAGAAGAGUAUAGAGAAACUUAAAAGAAGUCUAAUUUGGUGGCAGUUUGGUGAACAGAAGGAAAUAAAAUGCAGCGGUUGAAGUGGGGAGUCAAGCAGAAGUUCAGUGGUGACAAUUUAGGGAAUAGCCAGGGAUAAUCCCAGCCAGAUGGUUUCCUCUGAGAAUAGAGGUCAGAUGGGAUCCUAACUCACUUUCCAGUUCUGUGCCUGUGCUUCCCUGUCAGGGAACCCUUAGUUCCCCCAUCCCAUUUCCUGUCUCCGUCCAGGAGGGAAGAAGUCAUCUCCAUUCUUCUGCCCUAAUCCUCCGCUAAUUCCUGUCUAAGGUAAGAGCAAUGGUUUCUGGGGUGGUGAGAACAUGAGCCUCCCAAAUCAGCCACUUCUCACCUGUGGCCAGAAUGCCAGUGUGUGAAGGGACAAGCCCAUCUGAGUCGCUCUAAUGUUGCCUGGGUCCACCUGGUAGGCUCUAUGCUUCCAACCCAGGUCUCUGAUGGGGCUGCUUAUCUUUCAGUAAGACCAUCUUCUAUCCAUUUGAUGUGCUUUGGAAGCUAAGUGGACUCCUGAUAAUCUUAGAUUCAGGGACAAAAGUAAGAAGAAGCCUUCCUUAUACUUCCUCACUUAAACGUGAUUCUACAAAUCUGCCUUGCAUUGGAAUUACUGAGUCCUUGCCCAGCUGUUAGUAAAUCGGCAUCUUGUUUUUCCGUUGGUUUUGUUCUCCAUAUGAAUAGAUUUCUUGGUUAGAAUCUCCAAGGAAGAGGGAAAAGGGAAGGAGCAAGGGAGGGAAGGGGAGAAAGAGGAGUGGGGAGCAGGAGGGGAAAGAGGAAGCAGAGGCAGGAAAGAGGUUGGGAAGGUUCCUAUCACCAGCCCUGGAAAGGCAGAUGCUCCAGGGGUUAAUGGAGGUCAGGGUGGGGAUGGCAAAACUUACUGGCUUCAUAUUUUUUGGCUCCAUAUUCAAAAGAAGUAAAAUUUUCCAAAAAUUCAGUUUAGUUCUGCAAAUACUUAUUGAGCCUGAAGCUCACUGUAAGAAACUGUUCUAGAUAUUGGGAGCCAGCUGGGCAAAGAGAGGAAAGAGAUAAAGUAGCUUCCCUCAAGGAACUGUAGUACAAAAUUGAGUGGUUUUAGUUUAUCAUUGAUGUUUAGUAGAAGAAUUCACCACUUCUCAUUUACUGCAAAUUCAUAAAAUAUCAAAUGACAAAUUGACUCAAGAGCUCUUAGAAGUGAGAACUGGGUGCCUUCCAGGGGGUUAUAUAAGAUAAUACCAUUUAUAAAAAUGAGCUUCUUUUAUAGUUUUUCUUAAUUCUAGAAACUUCGGUUACCCAUCUCACCUCUGAUAAUUUUGAAAAAUCAUGCAGAGAUGCUACCCAACAAGUGCCUUUUUAAGCAAAAGCAGGUCACUCCCCCAGCUCAGGAUCCAGCUCUUUUCAAAUUUUAUAAUGGAUAAUAGAAAACAAAUGUUCAAAAUAACUGUAAACAAAGAAACAAGUAAGAAAUCUCCAGAAGCUAAUACUUUUAAAAUUGGAUCUCAGAAAACACUAUUCCAAUUGUUACAUUUACCCCCAUCUUAGAACAUCAUCCUUAAAACAGCAAAACUGGAAAAAUCUUUGCAAUGUUCUUUUUCACUGUUCAAUAGCAUCUUUGCCUCCUCCUAGGCAUAUUAUGCUACCAGACAGAAUAUAAACUUCACUCUUUAUUACAGAAAAUAUCUAUAAAUGUCUACAGGCAUAUUCCUUAUCUGUUUUGCUAGUUUUAAUGCUUUUCUUAUGAUAAUUAUGAGAUUAAUUGGUUCUUUGUCAAGGAGCUACAGUGUUCUGUGACUCUAGCCUAUUUAAUAGUCUUAAAAAGAAACUCAAAUCCCAGAGUUAUAAGAGAGAAUCAAACAUAUGCAAGGUUAUGAAAAAUUAAGGUGGAAAAAAAGCAAAUUUAAUUGUUGACUUUUUGACAGUGCAUGCCAAGACACGCCUCACCUAUUUCUUCCCCAUCCUUGUCUCCUCUCAGAAGCCCAGGCUCCUAUCGAAUAAAAGCAAACUCAGCAAUGAAGUGAAACUGCUAUGCCUUUUACACAUAAAAUGGAUGGGGAAACACAAUAAAUACAUAUGGAAAGGGACUAAAUGGAUGCCAGUGGAAGAGCAUCAGUCAUGUGAGUUUUCCAAAGUGUGCCCUUCACUGGCAGAGAUAAUCCAGGACAUUUAUCAGGCACUGUAGGAGGAAUGUGGCCUUUUGUACUCACAGUCCUCCCCAUCCCUGGAGCAAAUAAGAAAGAACAUUCUACAGUUUUCCUGGGUAAG